rnacentral:lncRNA from 1 species
UUGAUUGGAUUUUUUUCUUUGUUAUUAAGUAAGUUUAGUCACAUAACAUGAGAUUGGGAUUUAACAUUUGCUCUUUUGAUGGACUUUAUUUCUUACAAAUAUUUUUGAUUCUCCAUUUUAUAAUCCUUGUGUUUGAUUAAACCUUUGUGAUUUGAUGUGCCCUAGAUCCUGAAAGGCUUUACUUCAAAUGCUUCUAGACAGAUAUUGGCAUGAAUGAAAGAGGAGUCUUGGGUUCUUAUUAAGCAUAGUAAUUGAUGUUUUGAUUGAUGUCUUUGUGGUUUCGUCUCUUUUCUAAGUGUGGCUUAUGUUUUUUUUAUUUUUUAUUAUUAUUCAGUUUUUUUUUAUUAUGUGGCUUUAUCUUUUAUUUUUUAAAUAAAUUUAAAAAAAAAACAAUUUUGUUUUUGUUUUCAAACAUAGUGUAGUUUUAUGCUUCUUAUUUAAUUGUGCAGUUAGGCUUUGCUUUAUGUUACUAAGAUGGACACAUGAUAAAUUGAAUCUGAGGAUUGCAGUGUCAUUAUCAAUCCUGCUAGUUGUAGACUUGUGGCACAACUGAUUUUUUCCUCUUAUUUUUGCCUUUAUAUAUGCUCCCUUAUACUCUUUCCUUGCCCUUUGGAUUUCCUGACAAAAAGGGGGAGAGAUGAUUGUGUGAAAUUAUAAUAAAAAGGGGGAGAGAUUGUGUUGUAGAAUUAAGGGGGAGUGGUGUUGUAAUUUUGCCUUGAAUUACAUUUCUU